rnacentral:rRNA from 1 species
GUUUGAUCCUGGCUCAGGACGAACGCUGGCGGCGCGCCUAACACAUGCAAGUCGAGCGAUAACCAGGGCUUGCCCUGGGGACAGCGGCGAACGGGUGCGUAACACGUGAGCAACCUGCCCCAAAGACCGGGACAACCCGAGGAAACUCGGACUAAUACCGGAUGCCCUCACCGGGUCGCAUGGUCUGGUGAGGAAAUGGAUUCCGCUUUGGGAUGGGCUCGCGGUCUAUCAGCUUGUUGGUGGGGUAACGGCCUACCAAGGCGACGACGGAUAGCUGGUCUGAGAGGACGAUCAGCCACACUGGGACUGAGACACGGCCAAGACUCCUACGGGAGGCAGCAGUGGGGAAUCUUGCGCAAUGGGGGAAACCCUGACGCAGCGACGCCGCGUGCGGGAUGAAGGCCUUCGGGUUGUAAACCGCUUUCAGCAGGGACGAAAUUGACGGUACCUGCAGAAGAAGGCCCGGCCAACUACGUGCCAGCAGCCGCGGUAAUACGUAGGGGCCUAGCGUUGUCCGGAAUUAUUGGGCGUAAAGAGCUCGUAGGCGGUUCGGCAAGUCGGAUGUGAAAUCUCCACGCUUAACGUGGAGGGGCCAUUCGAAACUGCUGUGACUCGAGUCCGGUAGGGGAGUGUGGAAUUCCCGGUGUAGCGGUGAAAUGCGCAGAUAUCGGGAGGAACACCAGUAGCGAAGGCGGCACUCUGGGCCGGCACUGACGCUGAGGAGCGAAAGCGUGGGGAGCGAACAGGAUUAGAUACCCUGGUAGUCCACGCCGUAAACGUUGGGCACUAGGUGUGGGACUCUAUCGACGGGUUCCGUGCCGUAGCUAACGCAUUAAGUGCCCCGCCUGGGGGAGUAC